GCCCUCCUCGCCACUGUCGAUAAGCGCUUGGAUGAGGCAGCUCAGGCCAUCAACGAGGCCGCCGACUCCGUUGUGGCUGCUGCCCCACCAGCAAAAAAGGAUGAAGUUGAAGCUGCCACGUGGAAGCGGAGAAUGUUCGCCAUAACUGCUCUCGGGAUGGCCCAAGGAGAUGAGAAGAAAGUUGCUGCAACUUCACUUGCCUACAAGAAAGCAGCUAAAGCUGUCCUCGAUGCCGCCCCAGCUGACAAGUUUAAGUUGAUGGAUGAAUCCUUCAAAGUGGCUGCUAUGGAGGUAAUCGCAUCAUGAGCCACACGCCAACCUUCAUUAAAGGUCUACUGCUACACCGCCGACAUUGGUAGACGACCAGACACGUACCGAGUAUCAACGGUUAUUUAUGUAAUAAAUGUCGUGCAAUCAAUUCUACUCAUUCCAUUCUCUCCAUUUGUAAGAGCACCAGGUGGAAAAAAAAUAAUCCGGUGCCAUCUAACAUUUCUAGUUCAAAAUGUCGAUCCUUGGCACUUGGCGGAACUUUUUUUUUUCCAUGAAAUCCUUUGAAUGAUUCUUUAAACAAAAGUAUGGAGUAAAAAUAUCUUAUGUAAGAAAUAACAUAAACCGGACCAGCUUGCGUGCAUCAACGCUUCGAUAUAUGCA